UGGUAUUAUCAUCAUCUCUCUCUGUUAGGGGGUUGGUAUUAUCAUCAUCUCUCUCUCUCUGUUAGGGGGUUGGUAUUAUCAUCAUCUCUCUCUCUGUUAGGGGGUUGGUAUUAUCAUCAUCUCUCUCUUUUAGGGGGUUGGUAUUAUCAUCAUCUCUCUCUGUUAGGGGGUUGGUAUUAUCAUCAUCUCUCUCUGUUAGGUGGUUGGUAUUAUCAUCAUCUCUCUCUGUUAGGGGGUUGGUAUUAUCAUCUCUCUCUGUUAGGGGGUUGGUAUUAUUAUCUCUCUCUCUCUGUUAGGGGGUUGGUAUUAUCAUCAUCUCUCUCUCUGUUAGGGGGUUGGUAUUAUCAUCAUCUCUCUCUGUUAGGGGGUUGGUAUUAUCAUCAUCUCUCUCUGUUAGGGGGUUGGUAUUAUCAUCAUCUCUCUCUCUGUUAGGGGAUGGUAUUAUCAUCAUCUCUCUCUCUGUUAG
rnacentral:lncRNA from 1 species